GGAUUAGAUACCCUGGUAGUCCACGCCGUAAACGGUGGAUGCUGGAUGUGGGGACCAUUCCACGGUCUCCGUGUCGGAGCCAACGCGUUAAGCAUCCCGCCUGGGGAGUACGGCCGCAAGGCUAAAACUCAAAGAAAUUGACGGGGGCCCGCACAAGCGGCGGAGCAUGCGGAUUAAUUCGAUGCAACGCGAAGAACCUUACCUGGGCUUGACAUGUUCCCGACGGUCGUAGAGAUACGGCUUCCCUUCGGGGCGGGUUCACAGGUGGUGCAUGGUCGUCGUCAGCUCGUGUCGUGAGAUGUUGGGUUAAGUCCCGCAACGAGCGCAACCCUCGCCCCGUGUUGCCAGCGGAUUAUGGCGGGAACUCACGGGGGACCGCCGGGGUUAACUCGGAGGAAGGUGGGGAUGACGUCAGAUCAUCAUGCCCCUUACGUCCAGGGCUUCACGCAUGCUACAAUGGCCGGUACAACGGGAUGCGACCUCGUGAGGGGGAGCGGAUCCCUUAAAACCGGUCUCAGUUCGGAUUGGAGUCUGCAACCCGACUCCAUGAAGGCGGAGUCGCUAGUAAUCGCGGAUCAGCAACGCCGCGGUGAAUGCGUUCCCGGGCCUUGUACACACCGCCCGUCAAGUCAUGAAAGUGGGCAGCACCCGAAGCCGGUGGCCUAACCCCUUGUGGGAUGGAGCCGUCUAAGGUGAGGCUCGUGAUUGGGACUAAGUCGUAACAAGGUAGCCGUACCGGAAGGUGCGGCUG
rnacentral:rRNA from 1 species